rnacentral:rRNA from 1 species
UCACACCACGAGAGUUUGUAACACCCGAAGCCGGUGGAGUAACCAUUUGGAGCUAGCCGUCGAAGGUGGGACAAAUGAUUGGGGUGAAGUCGUAACAAGGUAGCCGUAUCGGAAGGUGCGGCUGGAUCACCUCCUUUCUAAGGA